rnacentral:ribozyme from 1 species
UUUUUUUCCCUUCUUUUUCUUCUUCUUCUUCUUUGUUUGUUUGAACAGGACAUUCAUCUUUGUCGCUGCAGCAUAUAGUACAUAUUACAGAUAAGACAACUUAAGUUUCAGAGCUUUUUUUUUUUU